AUUCCCGGGCAGCUGAAAACGCGACGUCUUGUCGCAUCAGCUGCAUGACUCGCUUCCUGCGAG
rfam:Planococcus rifietoensis strain M8, complete genome.